AAAACCACUUCUUCUCUCCUUUGCUCCAUAGUUUAUUGCCUACACCUUCGGUGUGAGAGAAAUUUAUCUCGGUCUCCCAUGUUUGUCAUUCACUAUAAACCCUAAAUUUUUCUCCACAAUGGAUUUAAUGGGUGAAAUCUAUUCAAGCAUCUUUCAGGUGGUGUAAAAUUUUCAUUUGAGGUUAAAAUCGUUAAAUUAGGGAAGAGUUAUAGGGUGGCGACUAGGGUUUUUUGAAAAUGUUCCCUCUUUCUAAAAUCCUUCAAUAAACAUGGUUUCCAUUUUUCUAAUUUCGUUUUUGGCCCUACGAAUCCUUUGUUUAUUUCAUUUCACGUGUUCAAUGGGGAUGCUUGGGAUUUUCGGCUAGAUCUGAGCUUUGAUGGAAGAUUAGAAGGUGGUGGCUUGAGGUUUAACUCAGUGUGUGGUAAAAUGGUUGUAUCCAACACUUCUUAUUUGGCCUAAACACUGCUGAGCAAGCUUAUAGUUGGAGCGAGGUAUGACCGUUAUUCUUCUCAAUGUCUUUUUAUUUGCCAAAAGAAAGAUUGUUGUGUUGGGGAUGUUUGGAUGUGCAUAAACUUUUCAUUGUAACAACUAGAUAAUUAGAUGUUUGAAUGUUGUUGCAUUCUGAUUUUUAAUAGAUACCAUGACCAAUAUUGUAAAUAGUUUUGAAAUGCUAAUCCAAACACCCCCUAAUUGUCCAACUUGGUAUGUUUAAUAAACAAAACAUUAUUAUGAUUCGCUAUUGGGAGUCCCUUUGACCCUGUUGAAUAUAAUGGAAAGGUCCAUGUGUCAGGCAAGGUAACUUUUUUCAACCUUACACAAUAUUAGCAUAUGAUAUUCAACAUGAAAUUAGAGGAAUUUAACUAUUAUUACUUUAUAUGUUUCAGGCCAACAAUGCAUACAUUUUUCCUAGAUUUGGCAUGGGUUUGAUAAAUUCUGGUGCAAUCCGUGUUCAUGAUGAAACGCUCUUAGCAGCCUGUAAGUUGGCAGUUUGAUUUUGGUUGCUAAUUCUAAUCACCAAUUGCUUUAUGACAUUUACAGGUAGGGCUGCAUAACAAGAGGUAGGGCUAACUCGGCUCGGCUUGAAAAUUUUAAAUGAAUCUACGCUCAAGCACAAGCUCGGACGACCCGGCUUGUAUUUAAAAAAAUAUCUUGCAAACAUGAACAUAUAUAAGAACAAAACAUAUUAUUUCUUACACGUAUGUUUAGGUUAUAUAACAAGUUAGUAUUGUCAUAUAAGAGAUUGUAUUAUCUUCAUUGCAACUACCAUUUUAAAAUAUGUUAUUUUUAG
rnacentral:lncRNA from 1 species